rnacentral:rRNA from 1 species
ACUGCAAAARWMRACGACGCYSGCGGCGUGYCUWACACAUGCAAGUUCGAACGGUAACAGGGACUUCGGUCCGCUGACGAGUGGCGCACGGGUGAGUAACGCGUGGAUAUCUGCCUAUUAGUGGGGGACAACUACGGGAAACCGUAGCUAAUACCGCAUACGCACUACGGUGGAAAGCGGGGGAUCUUCGGACCUCGCGCUGAUAGAUGAGUCCGCGUCAGAUUAGCUUGUUGGUGGGGUAAAGGCCUACCAAGGCGAUGAUCUGUAACUGGUUUGAGAGGAUGAUCAGUCACACUGGAACUGAGACACGGUCCAGACUCCUACGGGAGGCAGCAGUGGGGAAUAUUGCACAAUGGGCGCAAGCCUGAUGCAGCGACGCCGCGUGCGGGAAGAAGGCCUUCGGGUUGUAAACCGCUUUCAAUUGGGAAGAAGAGAUGAGGUUUAAUACGCCUCUGAUUUGACGGUACCUUUAGAAGAAGCACCGGCUAAUUUCGUGCCAGCAGCCGCGGUAAUACGAAAGGUGCAAGCGUUGUUCGGAUUUACUGGGCGUAAAGAGAUCGUAGGUGGUUUGUUAAGUCGGAUGUGAAAUCCCGGGGCUCAACCCCGGAACUGCAUUCGAUACUGGCAGGCUAGAGUUCGGGAGGGGUAAGCGGAAUUCCGUGUGUAGCAGUGAAAUGCGUAGAUAUACGGAGGAACACCUGAGGCGAAGGCGGCUUACUGGACCGAUACUGACACUGAGGAUCGAAAGCGUGGGUAGCAAACAGGAUUAGAUACCCUGGUAGUCCACGCCCUAAACGAUGUCAACUAGCCGUUGCGGGUAUCGACCCCUGCAGUGGCGAAGCUAACGCGAUAAAGKUGACCGCYKGGGGGGAGAUACGGUCGCAAGAUAKMMAAUCUAUAAAGUGAUGCU